CUGAGCCACGCCCAGCCGGGCUUCUUGCUCUUUUUCAAGAUUGAACUGGCUGUUCUUGGCCCUUUCUGGUCCUACAUAUAUUUUAGAAACAGCUUAUCAAGUUCAGCAGCAACAACCAAACCCACUGAGAUACUGAGCGGCGUUGGGAGAGAUCUGACAUCUUCAUAACAGUCGUGCUGUCCAUGACCAUGGUAUAACUGCAUUUACUGAAGAUUUGUUUAAUGUCAGAAGACUUCUAUAGUCGACCCAACAGAGAUGUGGUGUAUUUUGUUUUAGUAUAUACAUUAUCCAUGGUUGUAUCUCUGACAUUGGUUAUUUGUGCCCAAUUGGUUAUUUUGUAGUCAUAGAUAGAUUUAUUUAAAACACAUAUUUUACAAGAGAAUGGCAUAUAACAACUCUAUGGCUAAUUUACACAAUUUGUAAAUCAUGGUUGAACUGGACAUUUACUUUCUUAUAAAUAUGGCAAUUUAUGUAA